CGGGAAGACACUAGUCAUCACUAUGGGCAACUUGUUUCCUAAAAUUUUGUUAUCUGCUGCUAGCUCUGUGGAAGCAAUUUUCAUUUCCAGAAUUUCAAGGAUAUAUAAAGCAACACAGCAGCCAGCUGCAUGGGCAAACAAAUAUGUGCUGUUAUUUCAUGGAAUGACGACUCUUCCAAAGAUAAGAAGACAGGACAGAAAUACUUUCGCUGAGAACUAUCUCCACACAAAAGCUUACAGAGUCAAAUAUGAUGUCUUGUCUUAUCACUUCAGAACAGACUCUGGAGUUUGAAAAGAGUUCUGAAAUUUGCUUAACUCGCCAUUUCCGAAUAUAAUGAGGAAAUCAAUGUGUCUUGCUUUUAGAAAUGCUGGUGGCUUCAGAAUAAUUUGAGACACUGCAAGGAUAAGCAGAAAUGAAACUGCAAGUACUUGCUCAUCAUUGGAAUAUCUGAGAUGAGUUACAGAUAAAAAUGUGUUAAUGUACUGUCAUCAGGAAGAAUAUGUCAUUCAGAUUUACUCACUAGUCUCAGCGUUUUUUCAGCAAGCUAAUUUAGAAGUUGGGGGUCGGCUGAGUGAAGCCUAUGGGCAUCUUCAGCGCUACUGCAGCUAGGCAGGGUUACAAAAUGGGAUUGCAGCAGGGAAAAUGUCUUGGUCAGAAUGAAAUGCAGCAAUCAAAACCAUUUUCAGUUGUGUAAAACUUUAGCCUUCUCCCCUGCAAAUCAACCUUCUCCUGUCAAACAUUAACUCAGAUCUGUUUGCCACUCUGGAGGAAAAAGAAAAUUGAUAGAUAAUACAGUAGUUGGAAAAUGUAUGGACAAAUGUAUGGACAAUAUAGUGCAAAGAGAGUUCUUGAAACAAAUUAAUAAUUUGGGGAACUGUAUUCAAAUAUAUUUAUCACUGUGUAUGUACCUUUGCGUUAUUGCCAAGAAUUUAUGGGAGGGAUUUUAAUCUCUGUUUGAAGUUUAGAGGCUAAAUUUCUUUUUGAUAUUCAGGCAAUUUUCCAGUCAACUGCUACUGUACGGGAUUAUUUGAAUGAGAUCACGCUAAUUUUAACGAAGCCCAAAGUUUAAAUUAGAUACAACAAAGUCUUGGUUUACUUCAAAUGUUAUUCCAGAUGCCAUUGUACAUAGAACUAUUCAAAUGAUUGUUUUUUUAUUAAGUUUCUCAACCACAAUUUUGUGAAAAAAUUUAUUUCAAGUAUUGUAA
rnacentral:lncRNA from 1 species